AGCAGCCGCGGUAAUUCCAGCUCCAAUAGCGUAUAUUAAAGUUGUUGCAGUUAAAAAGCUCGUAGUUGAAUUUCGGGAUUCUACCGUCGGUCGGGCUACCAAGUCUGUACUGGUGUGUAGAAUUUCUACCUUCUGGGGAACCAUCAUGUUAUUAAUUUAGCGUGGUGGGAAACCAGGACCUUUACCUUGAAAAAAUUAGAGUGUUCAAAGCAGGCUUAUGUCUGAAUACAUUAGCAUGGAAUAAUAGAAUAGGACGGUGGUCCUGUUUUGUUGGUUUCUGAAUCACCGUAAUGAUUAAUAGGGAUAGUUGGGGGCAUUAGUAUUCAAUUGUCAGAGGUGAAAUUCUUGGAUUUAUUGAAGACUAACUUCUGCGAAAGCAUUUGCCAAGGAUGUUUUCAUUAAUCAAGAACGAAAGUUAGGGGAUCGAAGACGAUCAGAUACCGUCGUAGUCUUAACCAUAAACUAUAGCCGACUAGGGAUCGGACGAUGUUAAAUUUUAUUGACUCGUUCGGCGCCUUAC
rnacentral:rRNA from 1 species